GCUACCGUGGCUCAGCAGGUAGAGCGUCGCCUUGGUAAGGCGGAGGUCACGGGUUCAAGUCCCGUCGGUAGCU
rnacentral:tRNA from 1 species